UAAAAAAAAAAAAAAAUUGUUUAACUUUAUAAAAAUUUUUAAAAUAUAAAUAAAAAUAAAUGAAAAAAUAAAUUAAGGGAAAAAAUAAAAAUAAACAAAAAGUAACAAAGUAAGAAAAUAAAAAAUUAGCGAAUCAAAAAAAUAUAAUAAGACAAAAUGUAUAAAAAUUUCAAAUAUAAAAUGAAAAAAACUUUUAGUUUAGAAUGUACAAAGAAAAACAAAAAAAAAUAUAACAAAUAGAGGACAAAGAUAUAAAAUAUGAAAGAUGAAAAAUAAAAUAAAAGUUAAUAAAAAAUAUGAAUAAAAAUAAAAGAAAGUGACAAAAAAAGAAGUUUGAGGUUUUAAAAUUAUAAAGAAGAAAUAAAAAAAAAAGUGUGAACAAAAAGAUUUAAGAAAAAGCAAGAAAAAUAAAAAAGGAAAAUACAAAAUACAUAAAAUAAAUUUUGAGAAAAAAAAGAGAAAAAGAAGAAAAAAAUAAAAAAUGAAGAGGCAAAAAUAUGAAAGAAAAGAAAAAGAAAAAAAAUUUAUAGACAAUUUUAAAACAAAGGAAAAGUGAACAAAAAAAAAAUAAAAGCACAUAAAAAAAAGAAGAAAAAUUUGAAAGGAGAAAAAGUUAAUGAAAAAUUAUAAAAAUGCAAAAGAGAAUAACCAAGAAUGAUAAAAGAAAAAAAGAUAGAAAAAUAAAAAAUUCCAAAACUUUAUAAAAAUUUAUAAAACUAUAAACAAAGAAAGAAAAUAAAAAAUAAAUAUAGAAAAAGAAAAAAUACAAUAAAAAUAUAAAAAGGACAAAAAUUGAAUAAAAAUUUCAAAAAUGAAAUGGAAUGACAAAAUGAAAAAAAAUAGUUUAAAAAAUACAAAAAAUUGAAAAACAUAUAAGACCUAACAAUAUAAAAAGUCAGACAAAAAAAUUAAAAAAGAGAAAAGUUAAUGCAAAAUAAAAAAAAGUAUGAGAAUUUAAAAACGCAAAUAAGAAAUGAAAGGAAAUUUGUGGGGAAAAAAAAAAAGAAAAGCAAGAAAAGAAAAAAGAUUUGGAAUAAAAAACAGAAAAAUAAAAAGUUUUAAAACAAUUAAAAAUAGAAGAAGGUGCACAAAAAAAAAGUUUCAGGUUUUAAAAUUAUGAAGAAGAAAUAAAAAAAAGUGUGAACAAAAAGAUUUAAGAAAAAGCAAGAAAAAAAAUAAAAAAUGAAAAUACAAAAUACAUAAAAUAAAAUUUGAGAAAAAAUGAGAAAAGGAAGAAAAAAAUAAGAAAUGAAGAGGCAAAAAUAUGAAAGAAAAGAAAAAGAAAAAAAUUUAUAGAAAAUUUUAAAACAAAGGAAAAAGUUAACAAAAAAAAUGAAAGCACAUAAAAAAAGAAGAAAAAUUUGAAAGGAGAAAAAGUUAAUGAGAAAUUAUAAAAAUGCAAUAGAAAAUAACCGAGAAUGAUAAAAGAAAAAAAGAUAGAAAAAUAAAAAAUUCCAAAACUUUAUAAAAAUUUAUGAAACUAUAAACAAAGAAAGAAAAUAAAAAUAAAAAGAAAAAAUGAAAGCAAAAGAAAAAAGAUAAGUAAAGCAAAAAAAAAAAAAAAAAAAAACAAAAAUACAACAAAAAAUAUAAAAAGUAAGAAUUUAAAAAAGGACAAAAAUUGAAUAAAAAUUUCAAAAAUGAAAUAGAAUGACAAAAAGAAAAAAAAUAGUUUAAAAAUACAAAAAAUUGAAAACAUAUAAGACCUAACAAUAACAAAAGUCAGACAAAAAAUAAAAAAGUAUGAGAAUUUAAAAACGGAAAUAAAAAAUGAAAGGAAAUUUGUGGGAAAAAAAUUGAAAAGGCAAAAGAUUUGGAAUAAAAAACAGAGAAAUAAAAAAUUUUAAAACAACGAAAAAAUUAAAACAAGAACAAGGAAAAUUGUGAAGGGAAAAAGUUAUUAAAAAUUACAAAGUAGAAAAAAAAAAUUGAACUUUAUAAAAAUUUUCUAAAAUAUAAAUAAAAAAUAAUUAAGAGAAAAAAUUAAAUGAAAUACGAAAGUAAGAAAAUGAAAAAUCAGGGAAUCAAAAAAAUAUAAAAAGACAAAAUGAAUAAAAAUUUCAAAUAUAAAAUGGAAAAAACUAUUAGUUUAGAAUGUACAAAGAAAAACAAAAAAAAACUAUAACAAAUAGAGGACAAAGAUAUAAAACAUGAAAAAUGAAAAAUAAAAUAAAAGAAGUUUGAGGUUUUAAAAUUAUAAAGAAGAAAUAAAAAAAAAAGUGUGAACAAAAAGAUUUAACAAAAAGCAAGAAAAAAAAUAAAAAAGGAAAAUACAAAAUACAUAAAAUAAAAUUUGAGAAAAAAAAAGGGAAAAAGAAGAAAAAAAUAAAAAGUGAAGAGGCAAAAACAUGAAAGAAAAGAAAAAGAAAAAAUUUAUAGAAAAUUUUAAAACAAAGGAAAACGUGAAAGCACAUAAAAAAAGAAUAAAAAUUUGAAAGGAGAAAAAGUUAAUGAAAAAUUAUAAAAAUGCAAUAGAAAAUAACUAAGAAUGAUAAAAGAAAAAAAGAUAGAAAAAUUAAAAAUUCCAAAACUUUAUAAAAAUUUAUGAAACUAUAAACAAAGAAAGAAAAUAAAAAAAGAAAAAAAAAUGAAAGCAAACGAAAAAAGAUAAAUAAAGCACAAAAAAAGAGAAAAAACAAAAAUACAACAAAAAAUAUAAAAAGUAAGAAAAGAAAAAAAGAAAAAAAUUGAAUAAAAAUUUCAAAAAUGAAAUGGAAUGACAAAAAGGAAAAAAAUAGUUUAAAAAAUACAAAAAAUUGAAAAACAUAUAAGACCUAACAAUAUAAAAAGUCAUACAAAAAAUUAAAAAAGAGAAAAGUUAAUGCAAAAUAAAAAAAGUAUGAGAAUUUAAAAACAGAAAUAAGAAAUGAAAGGAAAUUUGUGGGAAAAAAAAUAGAAUAGCACGAAAAGAAUAAAAAUGAAAAGACAAAAUAUUUGGAAUAAAAAACAAAAAAAUAAAAAUUUUAAAACAGCGAAAAAAUUAAAGCAAGAAAAAUGAAAGUAUAUGAAAAAAAAACAAGAAGAAGGGAAAUUGUGAAGGGAAAAAGUUAUUAAAAAAUCACAAAGUAGAAAAAAAAAAUAAAAAAGAUGCAAAAAAUAAGAAAAAAAAUUGAACUUUAUAAAAAUUUUCUAAAAUAUAAAUAAAAAAUAAAUGAAAAAAUAAAUUAAGGGAAAAAAUUAAAAUAAACAAAUAGAAAAAAGUAACAAAGUAAGAAAAUAAAAUAAAGUAAGAAAAUUUUAAAACAAAGGAAAAAGUGAACAAAAAAAAUGAAAGCACAUAAAAAAAAGAAGAAAAAUUUGAAAGGAGAAAAAAUUAAUGAAAAAUUAUAAAAAUGCAAUAGAAAAUAACCGAGAAUGAUAAAAGAAAACAAGAUAGAAAAAUAAAAUAUUCCAAAACUUUAUAAAAACUUAUGAAACUAUAAACAAAGAAAGAAAAUAAAAAGAAAAAAAAUGAAAGCAACAGAAAAAAGAUAAAUAAAGCACAAAAAAACAAAAAAAACAAAAUACAACAAAAAUUAUAAAAAGUAAGAAAAGAAAAAAGGACAAAAUUUGAAUAUAAAUUUCAAAAAUGAAAUGGAAUGACAAAAAGAAAAAAAAUAGUUUAAAAAAUACAAAAAAUUGAAAAACAAAUAAGACCUAACAAUAUAAAAAGUCAGACAAAAAAUGAAAAAAGAGAAAAGUUAAUGCAAGAUAAAAAAAUUAUGAGAAUUUAAAUACAGAAAUAAGAAAUGAAAGGAAAUUUGUGGGAAAAAAAAAUAGAAUAGCAAGAAAAGACAAAAGCUUUGGAAUAAAAAACCAAAAAAUAAAAAAUUUUAAAAGAACGAAAAAAUUAAAACAAGAAAAAAUGAAAGUAGAUGAAAAGAAAAACAAGAAGAAGGAAAAUUGUGAAGGGAAAAAGUUAUCAAAAAAUUACAAAGUAGAAAAAAAAAUAAAAAAGAUUCAAAAAAUAAGAAAAAAAAUUUGAACUUUAUAAAAAUUUUCUAAAAUAUAAAUAAAAAAUAAAUCAAGGAAAAAAAUAAAAAAGUAACAAAGUAAGAAAAUAAAAAAUUAGCGAAUCAAAAAAAUAUAAAAAGACAAAAUGAAAGCACAUAAGAAAAAGAAGAAAAAUUUGAAAGGAGAAAAAGUUAAUGAAAAAUUAUAAAAAUGCAAUAGAAAACAACCAAGAAUGAUAAAAGAAAAAAAGAUAGAAAAAUAAAAAAUUCCAAAACUUUAUAAAAAUUUAUAAAACUAUAAACAAAGAAAAAAAUAAAAUAGAAAAAUAGAAAAAGAUAAAAGAUAAAUAAAGCACAAAAAAGGAAAAAAAUACAACAAAAAAUAUAAAAAGGGCAAAAAUUGAAUAAAAAUAGUUUAAAAAAUACAAAAAAUUGAAAAACAUAUAAGACCUAACAAUAUAAAAAGUCAAAUAAAAAAUUAAAAAAGAGAAAAGUUAAUGCAAAAUAAAAAAAUUAUGAGUAUUUAAAACGCAAAUAAGAAAUGAAAGGAAAUUUGUGGGAAAAAAAAAAAGGAAAGCAACAAAAGAAUAAAAAUGAAAAGACAAAAGAAUUGGAAUAAAAAACAGAAAAAUAAAAAAUUUUAAAACAACAAAAAAAAUUAAAACAAGUAAAAAUGAAAGCAUAUUAAAAAAAAAAAAGCAAAAAAAAGGAAAAUUGUGAAGGGAAAAAGUUAUUAAAAAAUUACAAAGUAGAAAAAAAAUAAGAAAAUAAAAAAAAAAAAUUUUUUAACUUUAUAAAAAUUUUUAAAAUAUAAAUAAAAAUAAAUGAAAAAAAUAAAUUAAGGGAAAAAAUAAAAAUAAACAAAAAAAGUAACAAAGUAAGAAAAUAAAAAUUAGCGAAUCAAAAAAAUAUAAUAAGACAAAAUGUAUAAAAUUUCAAAUAUAAAAUGAAAAAACUUUUAGUUUAGAAUGUACAAAGAAAAACAAAAAAAAAUAUAACAAAUAGAGGACAAAGAUAUAAAAUAUGAAAGAUGAAAAAUAAAAUAAAAGUUAAUAAAAAAUAUGAAUAAAAAUAAAAGAAAGUGACAAAAAAAGAAGUUUGAGGUUUUAAAAUUAUAAAGAAGAAAUAAAAAAAAAGUGUGAACAAAAAGAUUUAAGAAAAAGCAAGAAAAAAAUAAAAAAGGAAAAUACAAAAUACACAAAAAAAAUUUUGAGAAAAAAAAAAAGAGAAAAAGAAGAAAAAAAUAAAAAAUGAAGAGGCAAAAAUAUGAAAGAAAAGAAAAAGAAAAAAAAUUUAUAGACAAUUUUAAAACAAAGGAAAAAGUGAACAAAAAAAAAAAAUAAAAGCACAUAAAAAAAAGAAGAAAAAUUUGAAAGGAGAAAAAGUUAAUGAAAAAUUAUAAAAUGCAAAAGAGAAUAACCAAGAAUGAUAAAAGAAAAAAAGAUAGAAAAAUAAAAAAUUCCAAAACUUUAUAAAAAUUUAUAAAACUAUAAACAAAGAAAGAAAAUAAAAAAUAAAUAUAGAAAAAGAAAAAAUACAAUAAAAAUAUAAAAAGGACAAAAAUUGAAUAAAAAUUUCAAAAAUGAAAUGGAAUGACAAAAUGAAAAAAAAUAGUUUAAAAAAUACAAAAAUUGAAAAACAUAUAAGACCUAACAAUAUAAAAAGUCAGAGAAAAAAAUUAAAAAGAGAAAAAGUUAAUGCAAAAUAAAAAAAAGUAUGAGAAUUUAAAAACGCAAAUAAGAAAUGAAAGGAAAUUUGUGGGGAAAAAAAAGAAAAGCAAGAAAAGAAUAAAAAUGAAAAGAAAAAAGAUUUGGAAUAAAAAACAGAAAAAUAAAAAUUUUAAAACAAUUAAAAAUAGAAGAAAGUGCACAAAAAAAAAGUUUCAGGUUUUAAAAUUAUGAAGAAGAAAUAAAAAAAAGUGUGAACAAAAAGAUUUAAGAAAAAGCAAGAAAAAAAAUAAAAAAUGAAAAUACAAAAUACAUAAAAUAAAAUUUGAGAAAAAAUGAGAAAAGGAAGAAAAAAAUAAGAAAUGAAGAGGCAAAAAUAUGAAAGAAAAGAAAAGAAAAAGAAAAAAAUUUAUAGAAAAUUUUAAAACAAAGGAAAAAGUUAACAAAAAAAAUGAAAGCACAUAAAAAAAAGAAGAAAAAUUUGAAAGGAGAAAAAGUUAAUGAAAAAUUAUAAAAAUGCAAUAGAAAAUAACCGAGAAUGAUAAAAGAAAAAAAGAUAGAAAAAUAAAAAAUUCCAAAACUUUAUAAAAAUUUAUGAAACUAUAAACAAAGAAAGAAAAUAAAAAAUAAAAAGAAAAAAUGAAAGCAAAAGAAAAAAAGAUAAUAAAGCAAAAAAAAAAAAAAAAAACAAAAAAACAAAAAAAAAAAAAAAAAUAAAAAAACAAAAAAGAAUAAAAAUUUAAAAAAAAGGACAAAAAGAAAAAAUAAAAAUUUCAAAAAUGAAAAAUAGAUACAAUAAAAAAAAAAAAAAAAAAAAAAAAAAAAAAAAAAAAAAAAAAAAAAAAAAAAAAAAAAAAAAAAAAAAAAAAAAAAAAAAAAAAAAAAAAAAGUCAGAAAAAAAAAAGAAGUAUGAGAAUUAAAAGGAAAUAAAAAAUGAAAGGAAAUUUGUGGAAAAAAAAUUGAAAAGGCAAAAGAUUUGGAAUAAAAAACAGAGAAAUAAAAAAUUUUAAAACAACGAAAAAAAAAACAAGAACAAGGAAAAUUGUGAAGGGAAAAAGUUAUUAAAAAAUUACAAAGUAGAAAAAAAAAAAAAAAAAAAUUGAACUUUAUAAAAAUUUUCUAAAAUAUAAAUAAAAAAUAAUUAAGAGAAAAAAUUAAAUGAAAUACGAAAGUAAGAAAAUGAAAAAUCAGCGAAUCAAAAAAAUAUAAAAAGACAAAAUGAAUAAAAAUUUCAAAUAUAAAAUGGAAAAAAACUAUUAGUUUAGAAU
rnacentral:lncRNA from 1 species